rnacentral:rRNA from 1 species
AAGCACUUUCAGCGAGGAAGAACGCCUAGCGGUUAAUACCCGCUAGGAAAGACAUCACUCGCAGAAGAAGCACCGGCUAACUCCGUGCCAGCAGCCGCGGUAAUACGGAGGGUGCAAGCGUUAAUCGGAAUUACUGGGCGUAAAGCGCGCGUAGGUGGCUUGAUAAGCCGGUUGUGAAAGCCCCGGGCUCAACCUGGGAACGGCAUCCGGAACUGUCAAGCUAGAGUGCAGGAGAGGAAGGUAGAAUUCCCGGUGUAGCGGUGAAAUGCGUAGAGAUCGGGAGGAAUACCAGUGGCGAAGGCGGCCUUCUGGACUGACACUGACACUGAGGUGCGAAAGCGUGGGUAGCAAACAGGAUUAGAUACCCUGGUAGUCCACGCCGUAAACGAUGUCGACCAGCCGUUGGGUGCCUAGCGCACUUUGUGGCGAAGUUAACGCGAUAAGUCGACCGCCUGGGGAGUACGGCCGCAAGGUUAAAACUCAAAUGAAUUGACGGGGGCCCGCACAAGCGGUGGAGCAUGUGGUUUAAUUCGAUGCAACGCGAAGAACCUUACCUACUCUUGACAUCCUGCGAAUUCGGUAGAGAUACCUUAGUGCCUUCGGGAACGCAGAGACAGGUGCUGCAUGGCUGUCGUCAGCUCGUGUUGUGAAAUGUUGGGUUAAGUCCCGUAACGAGCGCAACCCUUGUCCUUAUUUGCCAGCGCGUAAUGGCGGGAACUCUAAGGAGACUGCCGGUGACAAACCGGAGGAAGGUGGGGACGACGUCAAGUCAUCAUGGCCCUUACGAGUAGGGCUACACACGUGCUACAAUGGUCGGUACAAAGGGUUGCCAACUCGCGAGAGUGAGCCAAUCCCGAAAAGCCGAUCUCAGUCCGGAUCGGAGUCUGCAACUCGACUCCGUGAAGUCGGAAUCGCUAGUAAUCGUAGAUCAGAAUGCUACGGUGAAUACGUUCCCGGGCCUUGUA